UACGGAGGGUGCAAGCGUUAUCCGGAUUCACUGGGUUUAAAGGGUGCGUAGGUGGGCAGGUAAGUCAGUGGUGAAAUCUCCGGGCUUAACUCGGAAACUGCCAUUGAUACUAUCUGUCAUGAAUACCGUGGAGGUUAGCGGAAUAUGUCAUGUAGCGGUGAAAUGCUUAGAUAUGACAUAGAACACCAAUUGCGAAGGCAGCUGGCUACACGAAUAUUGACACUGAUGCACGAAAGCGUGGGGAUCAAACAGG
rnacentral:rRNA from 1 species